rnacentral:rRNA from 1 species
AUGCCCAAGCGCACCAUGGGAGGGAGGGCCGACGCCGGGGCCGACGCCAUGGCGCACGAAGCAUCCAAGCGCCGUGCGAAGCUGCACAUGGAGAAAUCCCUCCCCGCCGGCGAGGGGUCCAGCCGGCAGCAGGGCGGACGUGACGUCGUCGACCACGUCCAGGCUCCGGUGCAGGUGUCACCUACGCCGGAGCAGGUAGCUCCAUUUAUGUGGGCCCCGGUAGCUGCUCUGGCUCCUCAGACGGAGCAGGUGUCUCCUCUGCCGCAGGUGACGCCUCCGGUGCCCGAGCCUGUGGUCGCCGGCGACGUCAACAAAGGCGACGUAGCUCCUCUGGCUUCUCUGCCGGAGCAGGUGGUGGCUCCUUAG